GGAGCACGAAAAAGGGAGAAAAAGGAAUAUUUUUUAUAUAGAGAGAAGGACACGCAUACAUGGAGGGGGAUUUUUCUUUUUUCCUUUUUGAGGGAAUUCAUCACCUUCGUAUAACACAGAUACACAGAGAAAGGCGGCCAUCACCAAGAAAAACAUGCACACACACACGCACCUCUCAACAAUACACCGCCAUGGAUAGAUUUCACUGAAACUCCCACAAGCACAAAGAUCCCUCAUCACCUUCACCGCAUACACACGCAGCAAAUACACCAUUCACUCACAAAUCGCAUACAUACACUCACAGCUCACCGAAAAACACACACACAUGCACGCAGUAAAGAAAAAUGAGAUAAUGGAUGGAGUUUGAGGUAGAUUGGAUGAAGGAACAGUGAAAUCCAGUGAAAAUCUCGUCGGAAACACUACUUGCCGUCAGAUCCGACCCGUUUUCUUCACUUUCUGGACGCUACUUGAGCUCACCGGAGCUCUGGCGUCUCAGUCCCUGUCCGAAUUCGUCAUUCUGUUCAUUCUUGGUUUGAUUCCGACAAGGUCACGCCGAAAUUAUACGGACUCUGUUUCGGUUUUCUGGACGCAAUCUUCGUUUUGGUUAUCUGUGGGUAUUUUGGACUUCUGUUCAACUCAGAAUUUGCGGGUUAUCGAGAUUUUGAACUGGUUUUAGUCAACUCGUAAAUUCGGAUUCGAGUUUUUCUAUUCAGGGUUUCAAGUCCGGGUUUUCUUAAGUAUUAUUACCGAUGAAAUCGGUUCUUCGAAGGGUGAAUCGUCCAAAGAGAUACGUCUCAAGAUACUAAAUCUAUCAUUGUCAAUGAUGGUAGGGUGAAUCGUCCAAAGAGAUACAUCUCAAGGACCUUAGGUUGGGAUGAAUACCCACAUGGUAGUUGGAGCAACGCUCAAAAUCCAUCAUAUGGAGCAUUUUACCCUCUAUCAGCUUCUUUUGGACCUCUACAGUCCAUGCGUGCAUGCUCAAGAGUUUAGAAACUUCAAGAGCAAUGGAUGAUGGCUUUGAAUAGCGUGAAGAUAUCAUGAGGUAUUAUUUUCGGAUCCAGUUCAUUUCUUGUCAAAACCAAAGAAUGGUUCCUAAGGUUUGGACUUCAACAACAACAACAACAAAUUCAGUAACACAAAUCCAGUGUAUUCCCACAUUGUGGGGUCUGGGGAGGAUAAAAUAUACACAGCUGUUACCGAUAGACCCCCGGCUCAAGACAAAGAAUAGCAAACACAUUCGUAAUAAAGCAUGAAACAAGAUGGAAUAACAGAAUAAGACACCCACAAAGUAACACCCCUACACUAACGAACCAAAGGCACCCCCACUCUCAUAACCUCCUACUAGCAGCUCCAACCUAUGGACGUAGCCUUAAGACUACUGGCCCGGCUAUUUCAAAGCUCUCCUAACUGCUGACUACGACCCACCCACAUGCACUAGCCAUCUAACCUAAUUCGCGUCCUCCAUGUCUUCCUAUCUAGGGUCAUGUCCUCAGUAAGUUAUAACUGCUCCAUGUCACGUCUAAUCACCUCUCUCCAGUAUUUUUGCAGUGCUAGUUUAAAAUUAGAGCAUGAUGUUUGGGUAAUCAGGAUUUAGAUAUUACCCAAAUCAUGUAUUUUUAUGUUUUAUCAUAAAACAAAAUGGUGUGCUCGAGAUGCUUUCUUUGAAGGGAAUAAGGGGAGACAAUAAACCAACCAUCUCUUUUUACAUUGCAAGUGGACAGAUUAGUUAUGGAGAAUGUUCAUCUUUGAAGAUAAGUUGGGUGAAAUCAGGUAGCAUCAGAGGUAUUUUGAGCUCCUGGAAGAGUGAUAGCAAUGCAACUACAAAGGAGGAGAUAUGGAAGAUUGUCCCAUCAUGCAUUUGGUGGACAACUAAGUCGCGUGAACUCUUCGCUUUCGAUGCCGCACCGGUGUCGAAUUCUCCAAAAAAAAAUAUACUGGUUUUGGCGAAUCCGACACACACCCGUUGAUAUUUUUGAAGAGUCUGAGCAACAUAGGUGGAAAGUAUGCAUGCAAGUAAAGUAACCAAAGGUGUUUUGAAGAUAACCAGAAUGACAUUAACAAGUUGAAGAUGAAUUGCUUAACUUUAUUUUACUUUUUGGUGUAAACAGAAUAUUCUAGUUCUAGUAUAAACACAAGAUUUUUUUGAUAGUCCUAGAUUACUUGUAAGAAAUAGUGAUGAAAGAUGGGGGAGUUUGUAAUACCUUUGAAGGGGAACUACACAAUCAGUUUAAAAAACUCUUGAGACAAAAAAAGAAUGUUCAUAUAA